rnacentral:lncRNA from 1 species
AUUAAAAAUAUUGAUAAUGUUCCGUGAUAAAGGAGAACGAUAAAUACAAUCUUUUCAGUUAUUUGGUAUUAUCUAGAAAAAUUUGAAACAUGCAUAUCCUUUUUUUUUAAGGUCUUAUUUAUUUGAGAGAGAGUCAGCACACACAAACAGGGGUGAGGAGUAGAGGGAGAGGGAGAAGCAGACUCCUCACUCAGCAGGGAGCUGAUGUAAUGGGAUCAAGACUGGAGCCAAAGGCAGAAGCUCAAUUGACUGAGCCACCCAGGCACCCCAACAUGCAUAUGUUUGGCACAGAAAUUCCACUUGUAAGACAGUACAAAGAACUAUACAAAGUAUAGAAAUAUGUAUACAAUGUAUACAAAGAAUACAAAGAUACAUAUACACAAGGAUCCUUGUAGCUACAAAGACAGAAACAAAUGUCUAUCACCAGGGGACUAGAAAAAUUGAGACAAAUAUAUAAUAUAAUAUGUAACUAUUAAAUAUAUGAUAGAUAGGUGUAUUAAACAUGGGAAAAUGCCCAAGAUAAAAGCAUUAAAUGGAAAAAAGUCACAGAAGAGUAGAUACAUUGUAAUCCCUUUUCUGUAAAAAGGAAUUACUUUACCUCUCUUCCUCUCACACACAUAUACAUAUACCCUUACACACAUUAGCAUAGACAGUGGGAAAAAAUGUGGAUAUAGGUCAAAAAAAUUUUUUUAAGAUUUAUUUAUUUAUUUAAGAAAGAGAAUGAGCACACAGACCCACACAGAGGACGGGCAGAGGGAAAGGGAGAGUCUUAAGCACACUCUGUGCCCCAUGCAGAGUUCUAUCUCAACCACCCCAAGAUCAUGACCCCAGUCAAAACAGAGCAAUUUUUAAUGGUAUUUUAUACUGAGACACAGGAUUAUGGGUUUCUUUCCUUAUUUAAAAAGGCCUAAUUUUGCUGUACUCAAAUACGACUAGUAUAAUCGGGGGGGAGGGGGGUUAAAAAGCCAAGGAUUUUCCAAAAGCAAAAGACUGAGCGAUGAAAGUGUCAUGAUAGAAAGGUUAGGGUUGAAAAAAUAGGGAGCAGGAGCCUUAAAGUGAGGUCACAGUCAAGAAAGAGGAAGAUGGAGAGUAGGUAGAUCUACGGCCUACGGUAAAAAUGAGCCUUGAGGUACCUGGCCAGCUCAGCUGGUGAAGCUGCAACUCUUGAUCUCAGGGUUGUGGGUUUGAACCCAAGUUAGGUAUAGAGAAUACUUAAAAAUUUUAAAAAGAAAAAACGAGCCUUGGGAAACAUACAAGCAGUUGCUAUGGGAAAUGCCCUGAGAAGGCAAAGGAGUACCAUGAGGGACAGACAGAGCUCAACUCAGGGGGGAAGUGGGAACUGCUGUCAAUCAAGACAUCCCAUUUUCUUGACUCCUCCAAAACACUUAGCAGCCUAGGAUUGGUUAGCAAAAGAAGCCCUGGGAUCAAAUCCCGCAUCAGGUUCCCCGCAGAGAGCCUGCUUCUCCAUCUGCCUAUGUCUCUGCCUCUCCAUGUCUCUCAUGAAUAAAUAAAUGAAAUCUUAAAAAAAAAAAAAAAAAGAGGGCAGCCCGGGUGACUCAGUGGUUUAGCACCGCCUUCAGCCUAGGAUCGAGUCCCAUGUUGGGCUCUCUGCAUGGAGCCUGGUUCUCUCCUUUUGCCUGUGUCUCUGCCUCCUCUCUCUCUCUCUCUGCGUGUCUCAUGAAUAAAUAAAUAAAAUCUUAAAAAAAAAAAAAAAAGAAUUU